rnacentral:rRNA from 1 species
UUCUGGUUGAUCCUGCCGGACCCGACUGCUAUCGGAUUGAGAUUUAGCCAUGCGAGUCGAACGUCCCUCUGUUGCGGGGGGCGUGGCGUACGGCUCAGUAACACGUAGUCAACCUGCCCUAGAGACAAGAACAACCCCGGGAAACUGGGAUUAAUUCUUGAUAGGUCAUCUCAUCUGGAAGGAGAGAUGGCUUAAAGGGGUACGCGGGCUUCUCCUGCGUAUCCGCUCUAGGAUGGGACUGCGUCCGAUCAGGCUGUUGGCGGGGUAAUGGCCCACCAAACCUGUAACCGGUACGGGCCUUGAGAGAGGUGGCCCGGAGAUGGACACUGAGAGAAGGGUCCAGGUCCUACGGGGCGCAGCAGGCGCGAAACCUUCGCAAUGCGCGAAAGCGUGACGAGGUUAAUCCGAGUGACUUCCGCUGAGGAGGUCUUUUGUCAGCUGUAAAUAGGCAGGCGAAUAAGGGGAGGGCAAGCCUGGUGUCAGCCGCCGCGGUAAUACCAGCUCCUCGAGUGGUCGGGGCGAUUAUUGGGCCUAAGCAUCCGUAGCCGGUCCGUAGGUCCUCUGUUAAUCCA